AUUGAACGCUGGCGGCAGGCCUAACACAUGCAAGUCGAACGCGUCGCGGACGGGUGAGUGAUGUCUGUGAACCUCCCUGAUUGUGCGGGAUAACUACUGUUAACGGUAACUAUUACUGCCUACCAUCAGAUGUGCCCAGAUGGGAUUAGCUAGUUGGUGGGGUAACGGCUCACCAAGGCGACGAUCCCUAGCUGGUCUGAGAGGAUGACCAGCCACACUGGAACUGAGAGACGGUCCAGACUACUACGGGAGGCAGCAGUGGGGAAUAUUGCACAAUGGGCGCAGGCCUGAUGCAGCCAUGCCGCGUGGAUGAAAAAGGCCUUCGGGUUGGAAAGUACUUUCAGCGGGGAGGCGUUACCCGCAGAAGAAGCACCGGCUAACUCCGUGCCAGCAGCCGCGGUAAUAC
rnacentral:rRNA from 1 species